UCAGCAUCUUAGCAGCCCAGGUGUGACUCUCUCUUUCAAACGUUGCUCUCUCAGAGGUAAACUCUCCAAAUUGAUGCAGCUUUUCGGAUUGAUAGUCAUGAAUGUAUUAACGCUCGUAAACAACGAGCGUGGCCUCCCGCUCGUCUGCCGGCCAGCUUCCUCAUUUACAUUUCAAUCUCUUCACCUGCGAUCCCCGUGCUCGCCCGACUCGCUCCCUCUCCUCUCCGUGUACACGCCUCCUUCUCCUGCUCAUUUGUCUACUUAUGACGAGGAUCAGGCUUUGAUAUUAGAGGAGACUGGAGACCUCUAGCCUUAGCUGAAAGAUGUAAGGAGGGAGCGGUAGACGGACAGCAGAGGAGAUGAAGGUGGUGACAGAAAUAUCAGAGAGGAAGGACAACAAAGAGAAGAAACGAGAAGCUUGGCUGAAUGACACUUAAUGCUAAUCAUCACUGACAAAGUGCUAUGCUAAUACUGCAGCACAUUGUAAAGUGUACCUCAGCUACAACCAUAAAUGCUUCAGAGCUUGGUCUGCCACAUUCAGUUUAUGGACGCAGAUUGCUAAUCUAGCUAGCUAGCCUUAGCUGAUAACUUUGCACCUCAGCCUGUCAUCCAGAUGAGGUCACUUCCUGUUACAAAGUCGUUGGCAGAUUGCAAACAACAAUGCAAUCAAUUCGGUCUCUGCUGAUCAAUGCAAGCCGUUUAUUGAGCGCAACUCGAAUGGUUGCCGACUGCUCGUAUUCUGGUCAUAUAUUAAAACAAGGUUUUAUUUUGCAGUUAAACCACCGUCCUGCAGCAACUUUGUCACUAUUUGUGGAGGAAAUGUUACCAAAGGUUCUUUGAAUGAAAGCAACUGACCACGAGUGGUUCCAGCCCAGGCCCCGUCCUCGAUGCAACCAUUUCAAAGGCAACAAGUUCAUUGCACAAGGUUGCUCGUUUCAUCACCACCACUGAGCUCCUGUGGUCGAAUCCAGAAAACACCAUCACUCCAACAAGUUAUGGACAGACGUGGAAGUUUCAAGAAUCUGGAAUUGAGUACUUGGCUUUUCCAGCUACUGUCAAGUAGCCUGGGCUGAAGCACCAGCUCUGAUGGAGUGAUGACAUCGACCCAAACACACAGCCAUCGCAGUGAAAGCAUACGUGGAUAGAAACACAGUGGAACGCUAUCGGUCAUGGAUCGGCCCAGCCCUCAACACUCCAGUGCAACAUCAUCGUGAUGGAAAACAGAACAAAAGGCAGAAACAUCCAAAGGAGAGCUCUGAAUGUCCUUAGAGAAGCCUGGAGAAGAGCGCAGCAGCAGGUGUGGACAGGAGGAGGGCAGGGACGUGAUGUGGAGACUGAACGGUUGUUUUCCAGCUAAUAGAGGAGCUGCAGUCUGAAAAGGUGAAGGGGUGUCAAGGAUGAAGUGGUGCAGUAAUCUCAAGCGUACCUGCAAAAUUUCAACACAGUGAGAAGGAAGAAAAGUAGCAUCCCCCCGCCACGCUUCACCGCUCUGACUUAACGUCUUAUCCAAAGGCUUUUUCAGAGUAAUCAGAGUAUGUUUGAUUUCUAUCAGCAUAAAAACACAAAAACAAUCAUUUCUCCGUCAUUCGCUGAACUUUUACCAUCGUGUCAGGUGACUUAUUAUAAUGGCAACACCAACUGAGCAUGAGGGGAAUCUGUUUUAUGACCGUGAGCAAACCAGUUAUGAGGAUGAUAUUUAACAGACAAAAUGCACCAAGCAAAACAUCCACCGAGAAGAGAACAAAGACGACUUUGCUGGACCUCUAAAGGAUGGUGAGGAAAUCUCUUCAUCAGCAAACUCCUCAGAUAAUCAGACUCAAACCCAGAACCCUUCUUUCUUCGAGACACUGUUAGCAACUAUCCAAUGCUGUGUAUACAUCAGACAUGUUAGACCUGUAAUACAGAGAAAAGGGCACACUGGGUAAAAAUGAAUUGUUAAAUGACUGAAAUUAGAUGGAAUUCAAAUCUUUCUGAUAGCCUCAAACAUUGAAUUUUCACUUUUAAAGCAACUUGUUUUGUUCUCUUAACCAGAUUUUUAGCCCAGAGUAUCCAAGUGGAUCCAACACCGGCUAACAUGAUGUUAGCUUAAAACCAGCUACUGUUGCUUAGCUGGUUCAGGAGGGUCGCAGAUCUAAUCUCCUCACAAUAAGUAACAGCAACAACAUCGAGUUGAUGCAUCUGUUGGUGGGUUAGAGCCCGGACUCGAGUUCAGGAGAGGAAGCAGUGGUGGAGGAGGGGAAAGAUGAUAAAAAAUGAAAUGAACCAAUCAUAAACGGUCAUAUAUACUUAUAACCAGUUUUUCAGAUAUAUUUAGGAGUUUUAAACCUCUAGACGAAAAUACACGUCUGUUAAAUUAGUAAAAAUAAAGAAAAUAAGGACGAAUGGAAUCGUUUUCUCCUUAAUAUUUUUAUUUUCAUCCUGAACUGCAUGAUCGUAUGAAAACAGCACUCAAACUAUUCUUUUCCAGCAUGUCAGCGUUCCUGUUCAGAUCUCAUUUUCUUUAAGGGUUCCUGAGGAGAUUUAUUGUCGCGUUGGCGCAUCUGUUUCAGAAAAGGCUGGAUGCAACUCGAAUGAUUUCUGUGAAAACAUUAUUAUUGGCUGAAAUUCAGCAGCAGAGGUUCUUCAGACAUAAAUGUAUUUUUAUCUGAUUUACUGAUUAACAACAAGGGGUACUUAUAACACAGAGGCAGCGGGAAAAAGCUGCCUGAGCUGCACCGGGCUUUGAAACAACAUGGCACACAUCAGUUUUGGCGCUGGAACAGAAAUAUUAGCGCUGCUUUCUAUUUCUAAAAUCAGCUAUCACUGUCAUCCAGUCUGAUUUAACAGAAGCCUGCAGAGCUGUGAGAGGACUUCAAACGCUUCCACCGUCCGAGGCUUACGAUUCAAACAAACCACAAAGGAAUCCCUAUUAUUCCACAAUGCCAUUAUCAUUCAGGGCCUGCAAUGUGAAAUGAAUAAAAAGGAACUACGACGAAUUUGGAGUCAAAGGAAGAAACGCCACACAGAGGCCGGAUUGAGCCGUGGGUUAUCGCUGGUGGAGAUUGAACCUCGGUAUCCGAGCGGUUUGGUCACAGCAGCGGAUACACCGACCUACAAAGAAACGCUCUAAUGGGAAUAAGAGACUUUGAACUCUGCUAAACCUCCAGCAGUAUAUCAUACAUCACCACUGUCAGCCAAUAAUGAGGAAGAAGGUGAUAUUCCUGGAUCAAUAGGCAGAGCUGUGGAAUGCUAAAAAAAAGCCAGUGAAUUAUAAUCACAGUGGAAAAAAGAAAGAAAAUAUUACAAGCUGCCAGACAAACAGUGUUGAUCCAUUAGAAACAAACAGUAGCUUUGUGUCUACAAACAGCUGAAAUCUGACAUGUGAGUGCAUCAUACACAAAUUGUUUCGAGCUGCAUCGGCGCAGGGAGAGUAAAUCGGAUUCUGAACCCUCCGUGGCACAUCGCUGCCGUUUUCACUGCAGCCUAAAGAGGACGGAUGCCUUUCCCAGGGGUCUCCUGCUGUUUCUACUGCGUCCAAACACAGUAGUCAGACUUUCUCUGGCACGACAAAUGACGUGACCCAUCCUUAGAUUACUGUUCUCAUCCUAAACUCACAGAUGAGCCUGAUUAAAGCGCUUUCUGGCUUCAGGCUUCGUCACAGCUGAUCAUCUGCCUCCAUCUCACCAUGUGUCACCAACCCUCUGCAUGCCCUGCUUCACUACAUUCAUGAAACUCUGAGGCCUUCCUCUUUUCCUCCACCCUGGCAGCUCCAUCUUCAACAUCCAACCAUCUUUCCUCUGCACGUCCAACCACGUCCGCCUUGCUUCUCUAACUUGACCCGACCCUCUGAUGGACUCCAGAAGAUGAGCACGGACCAAGAAAAGUGCUAAACUGAACUAAUCCUCCUGCUUCAUGAUAUCCAUACAGCAUGGCUGCACUCAGUGCAAAUACAAAAGGAUUUAAACAGCUAUUUUCAACCAACCCAUAAAUAAUCACCAAUAAUCCUGCAUAUGUCAGGACCCAAAUGAAUAACAUCCCACAGUUUCAGUAAGCGUGCUAUAACCCAAGUACUCCGAUAUUUCUUCUCUGAGUUUUUUAUUUUAGAAUCGAGAUUUCGUACCCAGAUGAAAUAAACCGUCUAACUCACAGAAGUAAUCAUCAAACUUCAGUUCACUGCAUAUUUGGUAAGUUAGACCCUUCGUCCAAAGCUUCAGCCACUUUUCAUGGCCCAUUUACGAUGCCGUCUUACUGUUCAGUCACCCAAUGAACGCAGUGAGACUUCAGUGUGUGACAGAGUCCAUUUGUUGCUUCUAACUUUCCGUCUCAUUGAUCAUUUUAAAUGGAAAUGGAACCAAAAAACUGGCUUUGACUCAUGCAUUAGAUGAACAUCAGACACCAGAAAUUGUCACCGUCUCCCAACCCACCUCCACCCCUCCAUCCCCGGCAGGUGGAGCUUCAAUGAUUCAUGGUCAACUGCCAAAAAGUGGUGUUUAUGACGGUCCUACUGGGAUUAACAAACAGCAGGUUAGUGUGCAGCUGCCACCUUCAGCAGGUAAGGAAAGUUUUAUACUGCUGGUGUCACAGUUACUGAAGAUCCUCGACCAGAGAAAGACACGAUAGUGGUGCAGAAGAAGAAGAAGAUCGAAGACUGUCUACAAGUGGACUUUGUUUUGACUGGGUUCAAAUAUCUUCACAUAAUCACUGCUUUUCUUAGUGUUUUCCUUUCAGACCUACAGAAGAUAAAAAACCCAGCUCAGACAGUGUGAGGGGGGGAUGGAUGGACAGAUGGAUGGAUGGAUGGAUGGACA